UCUCCUGGAAACGGGUGGUAAUGCCGGAUGCUCCAGUUGAUCGCAUGGUCUUCUGGGAAAGCUUUCGCGGUAUGGGAUGGGGUCGCGUCCUAUCAGCUUGACGGCGGGGUAACGGCCCACCGUGGCUUCGACGGGUAGCCGGCCUGAGAGGGCGACCGGCCACAUUGGGACUGAGAUACGGCCCAGACUCCUACGGGAGGCAGCAGUGGGGAAUAUUGCACAAUGGGCGCAAGCCUGAUGCAGCGACGCCGCGUGAGGGAUGGAGGCCUUCGGGUUGUAAACCUCUUUUAUCGGGGAGCAAGCGAGAGUGAGUUUACCCGUUGAAUAAGCACCGGCUAACUACGUGCCAGCAGCCGCGGUAAUACGUAGGGUGCAAGCGUUAUCCGGAAUUAUUGGGCGUAAAGGGCUCGUAGGCGGUUCGUCGCGUCCGGUGUGAAAGUCCAUCGCUUAACGGUGGAUCCGCGCCGGGUACGGGCGGGCUUGAGUGCGGUAGGGGAGACUGGAAUUCCCGGUGUGACGGUGGAAUGUGUAGAUAUCGGGAAGAACACCA
rnacentral:rRNA from 1 species